UAGAAAUGUGUGUUUCUUGUAACGAAACUCCAGCGACUGCCUGGGUAAAGUUUUACUCAAUUUGGUGCAUAGUUCUUGGUUUAUUUUGCAUUAUCCAUGGAAUUUUUGCAAUAAUUGUAAAUUUACCCUAUAAUGAUGAAAAUUUGUGGUUAGCCAUCUACUUAUCGGGCUAUAUAUCUUCCUCCGUAUCCUAUAUUGUUGCUGGGUCUUUUUUGUUGAUAUCACUAAACACGCACUCAAGAUUUCACUUUAGAUGCGGUAAAAUCACAAGCUAUUGUUUUCCGAUUAUAAAUUGGUAUUAUGUAUUUCCAUUGAUUGUGCAUUUCGUGUGCGUUCCCAAAUUGUGCAGAUACAUGAAUGAAUAAAUUAGCAGAGGGAGAAGCAUAUACACCGUGUCAAGGAAUCAGUGGUAAAAAAUAAGGAAGUACAAAAAAUAAAUAUUUAACCGUGUACUGUGUGGGCCGUAAAGCCUCGUAUAUAUUUUAUAUUAU